rnacentral:rRNA from 1 species
UACGUAGGGUGCGAGCGUUGUCCGGAAUUACUGGGCGUAAAGAGCUCGUAGGUGGUUUGUCGCGUUGUUCGUGAAAACUCACAGCUCAACUGUGGGCGUGCGGGCGAUACGGGCAGACUGGAGUACUGCAGGGGAGACUGGAAUUCCUGGUGUAGCGGUGGAAUGCGCAGAUAUCAGGAGGAACACCAGUGGCGAAGGCGACUUCCUGGCCUGUUCUUGACGCUGAGGCGCGAAAGCUAGGGGAGCAAACGGG